AUUGAACGCUGGCGGCAGGCCUAACACAUGCAAGUCGAACGAGUGGCGGACGGGUGAGUAAUGUCUGGGAAACUGCCCGAUGGAGGGGGAUAAAUACUGGAAACGGUAGCUAAUACCGCCUACCCUCCGAUGUGCCCAGAUGGGAUUAGCUAGUUGGUGGGGUACAGGCUAACCUAGGCGAAGAUCCCUAGCUGGUCUGAGAGGAUGAACAGCCACACUGGAACUGAGACACGGUCCAGACUCCUACGGGAGGCAGCAGUGGGGAAUAUUGCACAAUGGGCGCAAGCCUGAUGCAGCCAUGCCGCGUGUAUGAAGAAGGCCUUCGGGUUGUAAAGUACUUUCAGCGAGGAGGCGUUACUCGCAGAAGAAGCACCGGCUAACUCCGUGCCAGCAGCCGCGGUAAUUC
rnacentral:rRNA from 1 species